rnacentral:rRNA from 1 species
AUUGAACGCUGGCGGCAUGCUUUACACAUGCAAGUCGAACGGUAACAGGCCUUCGGGUGCUGACGAGUGGCGAACGGGUGAGUAAUGCAUCGGAACGUGCCCAGAGGUGGGGGAUAACGCAGCGAAAGCUGUGCUAAUACCGCAUGUGAUCUGAGGAUGAAAGCGGGGGACCAGGCAGCAAUGUUUGGCCUCGCGCCUUUGGAGCGGCCGAUGUCAGAUUAGGUAGUUGGUGGGGUAAAGGCCUACCAAGCCGACGAUCUGUAGCUGGUCUGAGAGGACGACCAGCCACACUGGGACUGAGACACGGCCCAGACUCCUACGGGAGGCAGCAGUGGGGAAUUUUGGACAAUGGGCGCAAGCCUGAUCCAGCAAUGCCGCGUGCGGGAAGAAGGCCUUCGGGUUGUAAACCGCUUUUGUACGGAACGAAAAGGCUCUGGCUAAUACCUGGGGCUGAUGACGGUGCCGUAAGAAUAAGCACCGGCUAACUACGUG